GGUAAGGCACCACCUACCCACAGCAAUGCUGAAAAGAAGAUGGAAAAAGCGGGAUUAGAAAACAGAUCAGUCACACAGUUGUUUAUUCUUCAAGCCCAUGUCAUUAUCUACACAAAAGAGCUAGUGAACAAGCACGGAGUAGGAGGUCAAAAACGAGACACGGCGAGAGAGUGGGCUGGUGAAAGAGAAAAUUCAGAACGCUGUGUCAUAUGUAUCGUAUGACUUCUAAAGCAAGACCGUGCAAAGGAGCUGGGAAAGGGAGGCGUGACAAGAAGGGAGUGUUGAUCUCAGCAAAUCAGACCUCUCACUUGUUCAGUCUGGUUUGUACUGCCCAGACCUGGAUGUUCCCUGCAGAUGUCCUGUGGGAAGAUUGGAUUCUGCCUAUGUUUUUAGUCUACAGGUUGGCUGCCCUUCUAGGACCUCGUAUCUCAUCUAGCUCUCUAACUUGAACCCCAAUGUGACAUUCUGACCAAUGGUUAGAGAGACUCUGUCCCCUAAAUGGAAUGCUGCAGAGGAAAAUCAUCUAUUUAUACUUGUUCUUUUUAAAAAUAUAAGACACAACAGACCUGUUAAAGCUCUGAUUUUUUUUAGAUGUACAUAAGAAAGAAAUUUGCUUAUAACGGUUACAUUUUAAUAAGCUGUACAAGGUCAGAAAUAUUCUAUGACAUCAACCUCCAGUCAGGACAUUUUAACUGGGUGAUCUAAAUGACUUUGUAUAACCUUAUGUGUCUGUAAAUGAAUCAACUUGACUUAUUCAUUUACAGACAUAGUCUUGUUUAUGUAUGAGAAGAAUGUUCCUUCAGAUUUUUCCUGCACAUGAUGUCUGGCACAGGAAAAAUGAUACGUGAGCUCGACUUGAUCUGCUGUUUUCUGUGCCUUAUUCUGAUACGUGUGAGGUAUGAUCCCUGGGGCUGACCUUCAGUGCAGCCAUCUGUAAGGGCGACAGUUCCCGACUCACCGAUGACAUCUCCCACACCUCCACCGAUUCUCCCGGGGGCCUUCGACUCAUCGAUGGUGGCUGGGAUCACGGCACAGCGGCACCAUGGGAAAAGGGCUGUGUUUUUACCAUCAGUGUGACGGUGCCGUGCUGCCUUUGCAGUUUUAAGGCCCAGGAAAUUUCCCAGAAUUUCCCAGAGGAACCCACCUGAGGGAUUAAUAAAGUUUUAUCUUAUCUUAAAACGAGCCCGCCAGUGCUCUGUAGCGGCGAUAAGGAAAGGCUGCUCUUCAUAGAGGACUCACCCUCGGGGAGACGUUUUCUGGUUGACUCCGGUUCCCAGAAGAGCCUCGGGAACUCUUGUGUCGUCUUUGCAUACCUCCAUAAUAGUAUAUUAUUUAAUCUUUAAAAAAAAAUUGGAGAUUUCCUGCGUACUACCAGAGAGAGCCCAAGUACUACUAGUGAUACCCGUACCACAGUUUGAGAACCACUGCAGUAGAGGAGCACUGCUGCAGUGGCAAAAACAGCUGCACUGUCCUCUGUGGGAUAUUGAUUGAUCUCAGCUCAACGUGGGUCAUUUAUUUAAAUACUCAUGGUGAAACAAACUUAAGUGGGCACAAUGUGGUUAUGCUAUGUACGCACAUGGCCUAUGUAGUAUAAUUUGUUCUUGAACAUUAGCAUAAAAGGAAUGCUUGUGUGGGUGCGAACAAACAAUAUGACCUUCCUCAGGUAACUCAGUGCACCUAAAACCAACUGACAGACGCAGAGAGAGAGACAGGGCAUGCAGAUAGAUUAGAUUACCGAGCUGUGAAGAGAGACAGUGCCAGAAAGCCUGCUACUGUAUUCUUAUCAGACGAUAAAAAAACAUGCAAGUUUGAAGAAGCACAGGUUUUCCAAAGGUAUUUAUGUAAGUAAUGGUUAACAAGAACUCGCAUGAGCACAGUGUUGAAUUCUCCUUGUUGGCUGCCACAAUCUAUGGUUUAAAAAAUCAUCAAUUAACUCAGCAAAACCUGUCAGACUCAGCUAGAAUGCCUCACUUGCUAACAGCAAUUCAAAGUACGCUUAUUCUUUAAAACAAGUCUUAGCAUAAAGGCAGGCAAAGGGGGAAAAGAGCCAAGGGAAGAGGAGUGCAUGGUUAAACACUUAAAGCUAAAACACAUGGAGUAAGACAACAGCUUUCCAACACAUGGUGCAUUUAAGUACAGCCCAUGUGUGGAUGCACACACUGUGUGGGUAAUUAACUCAGAAUGUAGCUUUAUCUUAUAUAGAGGAACAACAAAAUAAAAGCACAGCUAUGUAAUGAAAUGCAGAUGUGAUGAAUGAGCACCUUGGCCAUUCAGCUUUGUAAAAAAAAAAGAAAUGUUUAAAGGAAAAGCUGGAGCAGCGUAUUUUGUUUCACAGGUGACAGAAAGUCAAACACAGUUUACUAUCCGAGGACAAACUUGACCUCUGAAACUACUAAUGUUAAAAGAAAGUGAUUGGACUUCUACUGUUAGAAAUAUUUGUCGUCCCUUUAACAGCAAAGAUAAGCAACUUUUUCAUCAAUACAUCUGUGAGGACCAAAGACCUUUUAAAUCACAAAAAUCCCUCAGAAAUUCUCGUUGGACUGUUCUCACAUUCAUUUUGCAGCAGUGACAACAAAUGUCUUCAGUGACCAGGUGUCCACAGAACCCUGGUCACGGUGAAAGUAGAAAAGCAGCAGAUUUUAAUCAAACACCAAACUCCACCCAUGAACCUAAACCUAAUUCUUUAUUGGUAAAUGUUAAGAGAUUUUUACAUUUACUUACUUUGAUAACUUUUAUUUUGCUUAAGUAUAAUUUCUUGUGAGAACAUGAUGUGCCUGUAACCUACAGAUUAAGGAACAGAAGCAUGCGUGAGGAAGUUACAAAGUCACACACUCUCAGGCAGAGACAGUUCCAACCUGAAGCUGAUAUGACAAAAGAUACUAGUUCCUCUUGUCUUAUGGAUAACGGCCACUCAUGCGAUAACCAUAUCUAGAGAUGUUUUUCUAUUACGUAUGCUCCACCUAGAGAUGCUGUGUAAUCUAUUCUCUGCUAUAAAAUAAAGAACGGACUGAGGCUCUGCGCGACUUGCCUGUGUCUUGCCACGCAGUAAGCCUCGCCCAUGUACAUCCCAUAA
ensembl:lncRNA